rfam:Cephalotus follicularis DNA, scaffold: scaffold2200, isolate: St1.
GGGUGCGAUCAUACCAGCACUAAUGCACCGGAUCCCAUCAAAACUCUGCAGUUAAGCGUGCUUGAGCUAGAAUAAUUCUAAGAGGGGCUUGUCUUAUGGCUUUUAUAGAUUCAGGCUAGUGGCUUGAC